GAUGAAAAACGCAGCGAAAUGCGAUAAGUAGUGUGAAUUGCAGAAUUCAGUGAAUCAUCGAAUCUUUGAACGCACAUUGCGCCCCUUGGUAUUCCAUGGGGCAUGCCUGUUCGAGCGUCAUUUGUACCUUCAAGCUUUGCUUGGUGUUGGGUGUUUGUCCUGAGGGACUCGCCUUAAAGUAAUUGGCAGCCAGUGUUUGGUUUUGAAGCGCAGCACAAGUCGCGAUUCAAAGCUAUACGCCCGCUUCCACAAGCCUUUUUCACUUUUGACCUCAGAUCAGGUAGGAAUACCCGCUGAACUUAAGCAUAUCAAUAAGCGGAGGA
rnacentral:misc_RNA from 1 species